rnacentral:rRNA from 1 species
GACGAACGCUGGCGGCGUGCCUAACACAUGCAAGUCGAGCGAGUGAAUCUCCUUCGGGAGUGAAGCUAGCGGCGGACGGGUGAGUAACACGUGGGCAACCUGCCUCAUAGAGGGGAAUAGCCUUUCGAAAGGAAGAUUAAUACCGCAUAAGAUUGUAGCUUCGCAUGAAGUAGCAAUUAAAGGAGCAAUCCGCUAUGAGAUGGGCCCGCGGCGCAUUAGCUAGUUGGGGAGGUGACGGCUCACCAAGGCGACGAUGCGUCGCCGACCUGAGAGGGUGAUCGGCCACAUUGGGACUGAGACACGGCCCAGACUCCUACGGGAGGCAGCAGUGGGGAAUAUUGCACAAUGGGGGAAACCUUGAUGCAGCAACGCCGCGUGAGUGAUGACGGCCUUCGGGUUGUAAAGCUCUGUCUUCAGGGACGAUAAUGACGGUACCUGAGGAGGAAGCCACGGCUAACUACGUGCCAGCAGCCGCAGUAA